GACGAACGCUGGCGGCGUGCUUAACACAUGCAAGUCGUACGGUAAGGCCCUUUCGGGGGUACACGAGUGGCGAACGGGUGAGUAACACGUGAGUAACCUGCCCACAACUUUGGGAUAACGCUAGGAAACUGGUGCUAAUACUGGAUAUGUGCUCCUGCUGCAUGGCGGGGGUUGGAAAGCUCCGGCGGUUGUGGAUGGACUCGCGGCCUAUCAGCUUGUUGGUGGGGUAGUGGCCUACCAAGGCGGCGACGGGUAGCCGGCCUGAGAGGGUGACCGGCCACAUUGGGACUGAGAUACGGCCCAGACUCCGACGGGAGGCAGCAGUGGGGAAUAUUGCACAAUGGGCGCAAGCCUGAUGCAGCAACGCCGCGUGCGGGAUGACGGCCUUCGGGUUGUAAGCCGCUUUCAGCAGGGACGAAGCUUUUUGUGACGGUACCUGCAGAAGAAGCACCGGCUAACUACGUG
rnacentral:rRNA from 1 species